rnacentral:tRNA from 1 species
ACCUAUCUAAUAUAAUAAGUAUGUUUGACUUCCAAUCAAGAUGUUUGUAUUAACAAGAUAAGUA